rnacentral:rRNA from 1 species
CUGACACAGGUGCUGCAUGGCUGUCGUCAGCUCGUGUCGUGAGAUGUUGGGUUAAGUCCGUAACGAGCGCAACCCUGUCCUUAGUUACCAGCACGUUAUGGUGGGCACUCUAAGGAGACUGCCGGUGACAAACCGGAGGAAGGUGGGGAGUGACGUCAAGUCAUCAUGGCCCUUACGGCCUGGGCUACACACGUGCUACAAUGGUCGGUACAAAGGGUUGCCAAGCCGCGAGGUGGAGCUAAUCCCAUAAAACCGAUCGUAGUCCGGAUCGCAGCCUGCAACUCGACUGCGUGAAGUCGGAAUCGCUAGUAAUCGUGAAUCAGAAUGUCACGGUGAAUACGUUCCCGGGCCUU